rnacentral:rRNA from 1 species
CCUACGGGAGGCAGCAGUGAGGAAUAUUGGUCAAUGGACGAGAGUCUGAACCAGCCAAGUAGCGUGAAGGAUGACUGCCCUAUGGGUUGUAAACUUCUUUUAUAUGGGAAUAAAAUGUUCCACGUGUGGGAUGUUGUAUGUACCAUAUGAAUAAGGAUCGGCUAACUCCGUGCCAGCAGCCGCGGUAAUACGGAGGAUCCGAGCGUUAUCCGGAUUUAUUGGGUUUAAAGGGAGCGUAGGUGGAUUGUUAAGUCAGUUGUGAAAGUUUGCGGCUCAACCGUAAAAUUGCAGUUGAAACUGGCAGUCUUGAGGACAGUAGAGGUGGGCGGAAUUCGUGGUGUAGCGGUGAAAUGCUGAGAUAUCACGAAGAACUCCGAUUGCGAAGGCAGCUCACUGGACUGCAACUGACACUGAGGCUCGAAAGUGUGGGUAUCAAACAGGAUUAGAUACCCCUGUAGUC